rnacentral:rRNA from 1 species
UACGGAGGGUGCGAGCGUUAAUCGGAAUUACUGGGCGUAGAGGGUGCGUAGGUUGUUUGACAAGUUAUGUGUAAAAUUCCCGAGCUUAACUUGGGGCGGACAGAUAAGACUGUUAGACUAGAGUAUGGGAGAGGGUAGUAGAAUUUCCGGUGUAGCGGUGAAAUGCGUAGAGAUCGGAAGGAAUACCGGUGGCGAAGGCGGCUACCUGGCCUGAUACUGACACUGAGGCACGAAAGCGUGGGGAGCAAACAGG